rnacentral:rRNA from 1 species
UACGUAGGGUGCGAGCGUUAAUCGGAAUUACUGGGCGUAAAGCGUGCGCAGGCGGUUUUGUAAGCCAGAUGUGAAAUCCCCGGGCUUAACCUGGGAAUGGCAUUUGGGACUGCAAGGCUUGAGUGCGGCAGAGGAGACUGGAAUUCCUGGUGUAGCAGUGAAAUGCGUAGAUAUCAGGAGGAACACCGAUGGCGAAGGCAGCUUACUAUGGUGGUAUUGACACUGAGGCACGAAAGCGUGGGGAUCAAACAGG